GACGAACGCUGGCGGCGUGCUUAACACAUGCAAGUCGAACGGAAAGGCCCUGCUUUUGUGGGGUGCUCGAGUGGCGAACGGGUGAGUAACACGUGAGUAACCUGCCCUUGACUUUGGGAUAACUUCAGGAAACUGGGGCUAAUACCGGAUAGGAGCUCCUGCUGCAUGGUGGGGGUUGGAAAGUUUCGGCGGUUGGGGAUGGACUCGCGGCUUAUCAGCUUGUUGGUGGGGUAGUGGCUUACCAAGGCUUUGACGGGUAGCCGGCCUGAGAGGGUGACCGGCCACAUGGGGACUGAGAUACGGCCCAGACUCCUACGGGAGGCAGCAGUGGGGAAUAUUGCACAAUGGGCGGAAGCCUGAUGCAGCAACGCCGCGUGCGGGAUGACGGCCUUCGGGUUGUAAACCGCUUUCGCCUGGGACGAGGCGUGAGUGACGGUAAUGGGUAAAGAAGCACCGGCUAACUACG
rnacentral:rRNA from 1 species